rnacentral:rRNA from 1 species
AUUGAACGCUGGCGGCAGGCCUAACACAUGCAAGUCGAGCGAGCGGCGGACGGGAGAGUAAUGUCGGGGAGAAUGCCGGCUGGAGGGGGAUAACUCCUGGAACAGGUAGCUAAUACCGCAUACCAUGAAAUGUGGCCAGAUGGGCGUAGCUAGUAGGUGGGGUAACGGCUCACCAAGGCGACGAUCCCUAGCUGAGCUGCGAGGAGUACCAGCCACACUUGAACUUAGAUACGGUCCAGACUCGUAAGGGAGUCAGCAUCGGGGAAUUGCGCACAAUGGGCGCAAUCCUGAUGCAGCCAUGCCCCGUGUGUGAAGAAGGCCUUCGGGUUGUAAAGCACUUUCAGCGGGGAGGCGUGACCCGCAGAAUAAGCACCGGCUAACUCCGUGCCAGCAGCCGCGGUAAUUC